rnacentral:rRNA from 1 species
UUGAUCCUGGCUCAGAACGAACGCUGGCGGCAGGCUUAACACAUGCAAGUCGAGCGCCCCGCAAGGGGAGCGGCAGACGGGUGAGUAACGCGUGGGAACGUACCCUUUACUACGGAAUAACGCAUGGAAACGUGUGCUAAUACCGUAUGUGCCCUUUGGGGGAAAGAUUUAUCGGUAAAGGAUCGGCCCGCGUUGGAUUAGCUAGUUGGUGGGGUAAAGGCCUACCAAGGCGACGAUCCAUAGCUGGUCUGAGAGGAUGAUCAGCCACAUUGGGACUGAGACACGGCCCAAACUCCUACGGGAGGCAGCAGUGGGGAAUAUUGGACAAUGGGCGCAAGCCUGAUCCAGCCAUGCCGCGUGAGUGAUGAAGGCCCUAGGGUUGUAAAGCUCUUUCACCGGUGAAGAUAAUGACGGUAACCGGAGAAGAAGCCCCGG